rnacentral:rRNA from 1 species
UACAGAGGGGGCAAGCGUUGUUCGGAAUUACUGGGCGUAAAGGGCGCGUAGGCGGCCUGUUAAGUCGAACGUGAAAUCCCCGGGCUCAACCCGGGAACUGCGUCCGAUACUGGCAGGCUUGAAUCCGGGAGAGGGAUGCGGAAUUCCAGGUGUAGCGGUGAAAUGCGUAGAUAUCUGGAGGAACACCGGUGGCGAAGGCGGCAUCCUGGACCGGCAUUGACGCUGAGGCGCGGAAAGCGUGGGGAGCGAAGAGG